GAAGGGCAGGAUGGAGCUCCGUCCACUCUGUGUGAUGCUCUUGCUGACUGGAUUCAUCCACUGGACACAAACAGGUUUAGAUGGUGUGGAUGGACUGCGGGUUUUCCUGACGACGGAUCUGCGUGUGGAUCUGAUGG